CGCGUAGGCGGGAUCGUGGGUCGGCCGUGAAAUCCACCGGCUCAACCGGUGAACUGCGGUCGAAACUGCGAUUCUUGAGCUUGGUAGAGGAAGGCGGAAUUCCUGGUGUAGCGGUGGAAUGCGUAGAUAUCAGGAAGAACACCGGUAGCGAAGGCGGCCUUCUGGGCCACAGCUGACGCUGAGGCGCGAAAGCUGGGGGAGCGAACA
rnacentral:rRNA from 1 species